CCGAGACGGGCGGAUCACGAGGUCAGGAGAUCGAGACCAUCCUGGCUAACANGUGUUAGCCAGGAUGGUCUCGAUCUCCUGACCUUGUGAUCCGCCUGUCUCGG
rnacentral:pre_miRNA from 1 species